GGGGAUGUGGGUCAGUGGCAGAACAUUUGUCUAGAAUGUAUAAGAUCCUGGGUUCAAUUCCCUGCACCA
rnacentral:tRNA from 1 species